rnacentral:rRNA from 1 species
GAUGAACGCUGGCGGCGUGCCUAAUACAUGCAAGUCGAGCGAAUGGAUUAAGAGCUUGCUCUUAUGAAGUUAGCGGCGGACGGGUGAGUAACACGUGGGUAACCUGCCCAUAAGACUGGGAUAACUCCGGGAAACCGGGGCUAAUACCGGAUAACAUUUUGAACCGCAUGGUUCGAAAUUGAAAGGCAGCUUCGGCUGUCACUUAUGGAUGGACCCGCGUCGCAUUAGCUAGUUGGUGAGGUAACGGCUCACCAAGGCAACGAUGCGUAGCUGACCUGAGAGGGUGAUCGGCCACACUGGGACUGAGACACGGCCCAGACUCCUACGGGAGGCAGCAGUAGGGAAUCUUCCGCAAUGGACGAAAGUCUGACGGAGCAACGCCGCGUGAGUGAUGAAGGCUUUCGGGUCGUAAAACUCUGUUGUUAGGGAAGAACAAGUGCUAGUUGAAUAAGCUGGCACCUUGACGGUACCUAACCAGAAAGCCACGGCUAACUACGUGCCAGCCGCCGCGGUAA